rnacentral:rRNA from 1 species
AUUGAACGCUGGCGGCAUGCUUUACACAUGCAAGUCGAACGGUAACAGGCCGCAAGGUGCUGACGAGUGGCGAACGGGUGAGUAAUGCAUCGGAACGUGCCCAGUCGUGGGGGAUAACGCAGCGAAAGCUGCGCUAAUACCGCAUACGAUCUGUGGAUGAAAGCGGGGGACCGUAAGGCCUCGCGCGAUUGGAGCGGCCGAUGUCAGAUUAGGUAGUUGGUGGGGUAAAGGCUCACCAAGCCAACGAUCUGUAGCUGGUCUGAGAGGACGACCAGCCACACUGGGACUGAGACACGGCCCAGACUCCUACGGGAGGCAGCAGUGGGGAAUUUUGGACAAUGGGCGCAAGCCUGAUUCAGCAAUGCCGCGUGCAGGAAGAAGGCCUUCGGGUUGUAAACUGCUUUUGUACGGAACGAAACGGUCUGGGUUAAUACCCUGGGCUAAUGACGGUACCGUAAGAAUAAGCACCGGCUAACUACGUGCCAGCCGCCGCCGUAAAAC